AACACAAAUUGUACUUUCCAGUAUUCUGGGAAGUAUGCUUGGUUGAGGGUCAUUAAAAUAACAUUCGUAAAUUUUUUUGCGGAUUUGAGUUUUCCAGUAUUUAUAAAAAUGUUGGUAACUUUAAAAUUAUUAUUACUUGGUACAAGUUGAAGACGUUCUAUAUGUGUGGUUCGCUGACAACUUGUCCAUCAUCAUAUAUUAUGCGCGCACUUGGUUUUUUACGCUCUGUGCGAGUAUAUAUUUUUUAUGACCUCAGCUCAAGUAAGAAUACCCGCUGAACUUAA
rnacentral:misc_RNA from 1 species